UCUUCUUCUUUUUCCCAGUAUUUAAUUAUACUAUAAUUUAGGGUGAUUUUGUUUAGUUCAAUAUGAGCGUGGAAGGGAGCUAGGAUAAAACCCUUCAAUCUCAUCUAUUGACUAUUUGGUUAACUUUGGUUUGCUGGUGACUGGUGGCGGGUCUUUCAUUUACUGGAUUUCUGUUUUUGUUUUGGAAAUUUUAGAAGUGUGUUGAAUUGCUAUGAACUGUGCACUAUUCAUGGUGGUGUUUGCUGAUUACAGGUGCCCCAAGUGCGUAGAACUAAAGCUUCGCCGUGAAGGUGCUGCUUUCUGAGUCAAUUUCAUGCCUGGAGGAAUCUGUAAAUAUCUUUCUGGAUAUUGGAAGGUUUAAUAUGUCUGCAAGGUAUUAUAAGGAAAUUCUUGAGUAUUAUUAUCAGCAUUAGUCACCAUUUACACUUAUGUGGAGAUGGAUAAUUUUGAAAAAUAGAUGCCUUUACUUGAACUGAGCUUUGGAAGGAAAAUUCUUGAGCAAAUAAAUUAGUGUGCAUCAGUGUUGGACUUGUAGUUUGAUGUAUUCCAGCUGAGCCUUUGUGUGCACGCAUAUGAGUUUUUAUCAAGGGAGGAAGAUCAAGAUGGAGAUGUUACUUUCAAAAAGGGAGGAAGAUCAAGAUGGAGAUGAGCGCGAAGGAAGCCUUUGAGAGGUCGAUGAGAACUUUGUCGGAGUGGAUAAGCCAGGAAGUGAAUCGAAAUAUGUAAUGAUCUUAGAUACUUGAUACUUGGUUCAUUCGGAUGAUAAUGUACGAAUAUUUUGGAUAAUAUAUAAUAUUGUUAUUGUUGAUUUUA